GAUCAGCNCGUACUCCGAAGACUNUAGAUUUAAAGUUUGAUCAUGGCUCAGACCUGAACGCUUNGCGGUAGUGCCUAACACAUGCAAGUCGAACGGCAGCACAGGAGAGCUUGCUCUCUGGGUGGCGAGUGGCGGACGGGUGAGGAAUACAUCGGAACUCUACUCUGUCGUGGGGGAUAACGUAGGGAAACUUACGCUAAUACCGCAUACGACCUACGGGUGAAAGCAGGGAGAUCUUCGGACCUUGCGCGAUUGAAUGAGUCCGAUGUCGGAUUAGCUAGUUGGCGGGGUAAAGGCCCACCAAGGCGACGAUCCGUAAGCUGGUCUGAGAGGAUGAUCAGCCACACUGGAACUGAGACACGGUCCAGACUCCUACGGGAGGCAGCAGUGGGGAAUAUUGGACAAUGGGCGCAAGCCUGAUCCAGCCAUACCGCGUGGGUGAAGAAGGCCUUCGGGUUGUAAAGCCCUUUUGUUGGGAAAGAAAUCCAGCCGGCUAAUACCUGGUUGGGAUGACGGUACCCAAAGAAUAAGCACCGGCUAACUUCGUGCCAGCAGCCGCGGUAAUACGAAGGGUGCAAGCGUUACUCGGAAUCACUGGGCGUUAAAGCGUGCGUAGGUUGGGUUAUUUACGUCCGGUUGUGAAAGGCCCUGGGGCUCACCUGGGAACCUGCCGUGG
rnacentral:rRNA from 1 species